rnacentral:rRNA from 1 species
UUGAUCCUGCCGGACCCGACUGCUAUCAGAAUGAGAUUAAGCCAUGCGAGUCAACAUAGCAAUAUGUGGCAUACGGCUCAGUAACACGUAGUCAACAUGCCCAGGGGACGUGGAUAACCUCGGGAAACUGAGGAUAAACCGCGAUAGGUCAUCACUUCUGGAAUGGGUAAUGACUUAAAUCUAUAUGGCCCCUGGAUUGGACUGCGGCCGAUCAGGCUGUUGGUGAGGUAAUGGCCCACCAAACCUGUAACCGGUACGGGCUCUGAGAGGAGGAGCCCGGAGAUGGGCACUGAGACAAGGGCCCAGGCCCUAUGGGGCGCAGCAGGCGCGAAACCUCUGCAAUAGGCGAAAGCUUGACAGGGUUACUCUGAGUGAUUUCCGUUAAGGAGAUCUUUUGGCACCUCUAAAAAUGGUGCAGAAUAAGGGGUGGGCAAGUCUGGUGUCAGCCGCCGCGGUAAUACCAGCACCCCGAGUGGUCGGGACGUUUAUUGGGCCUAAAGCAUCCGUAGCCGGUCAUGCAAGUCCUCCGUUAAAUCCACCUGCUCAACAGAUGGGCUGCGGAGGAUACUACAAGGCUAGGAGGCGGAAGAGGCAAGCGGUACUCAGUGGGUAGGGGUAAAAUCCUCUGAUCCAUUGAAGACCACCAGUGGCGAAGGCGGCUUGCCAAUACGCGCUCGACGGUGAGGGAUGAAAGCUGGGGGAGCAAACCGGAUUAGAUACC